GCGAUCCUCCUACUUCAGCCUCCUGAGCAGCUAAGGACUACAGGAACUGCUUCCUGUCUGACCCACUGCAGUGGUGGAGAGGAUCAAGGGAAAUAAUGAUCAUGGAUGUGCUUAGGAGACGUAAGAUUUUACUAAGAAUUGCUGUGAGCUGGGCACCCUUCUACGCUCUGCAGACACCAUGGCUAGUAAGACAGGCAAAGACCUGCCAUCUGGAGCUUGUUUGGAUAUAGGGUAGGGGGACGGGGAGAAGGGAGAUAAACAAUAAACAAGUAAAUUUACA
rnacentral:lncRNA from 1 species